rnacentral:rRNA from 1 species
AUCCGGGUUGCGGACAGUGUCUGGUGGGUAGUUUGACUGGGGCGGUCUCCUCCUAAAGAGUAACGGAGGAGCACGAAGGUUGGCUAAUCCUGGUCGGACAUCAGGAGGUUAGUGCAAUGGCAUAAGCCAGCUUGACUGCGAGCGUGACGGCGCGAGCAGGUGCGAAAGCAGGUCAUAGUGAUCCGGUGGUUCUGAAUGGAAGGGCCAUCGCUCAACGGAUAAAAGGUACUCCGGGGAUAACAGGCUGAUACCGCCCAAGAGUUCAUAUCGACGGCGGUGUUUGGCACCUCGAUGUCGGCUCAUCACAUCCUGGGGCUGAAGUAGGUCCCAAGGGUAUGGCUGUUCGCCAUUUAAAGUGGUACGCGAGCUGGGUUUAGAACGUCGUGAGACAGUUCGGUCCCUAUCUGCCGUGGGCGCUGGAGAAUUGAGGGGGGCUGCUCCUAGUACGAGAGGACCGGAGUGGACGCAUCACUGGUGUUCGGGUUGUCAUGCCAAUGGCACUGCCCGGUAGCUAAAUGCGGAAGAGAUAAGUGCUGAAAGCAUCUAAGCACGAAACUUGCCCCGAGAUGAGUUCUCCCUGACUCCUUGAGAGUCCUGAAGGAACGUUGAAGACGACGACGUUGAUAGGCCGGGUGUGUAAGCGCAGCGAUGCGUUGAGCUAACCGGUACUAAUGAACCGUGAGGCUUAACCUUACAACGCCGAAG